ACAAUGAAGAGUUUGAUCCUGGCUCAGGAUGAACGCUAGCGGCAGGCCUAACACAUGCAAGUCGAGGGGCAGCGCUGGGUAGCAAUA
rnacentral:rRNA from 1 species